rnacentral:rRNA from 1 species
GAGUUUGAUCGUGGCUCAGGACGAACGCUGGCGGCGUGCUUAACACAUGCAAGUCAAGGACUGUAGCAAUACAGGACUGGCGCACGGGUGCGGAACACGUAGGCAAUCUGCCCUUUAGGGGAGAACAACCCGUCGAAAGACGGGCUAAAACUCCGUAAUAUCACGAGGAGGCAUCUCUUUGUGAUCAAGCUUUCUAAAGGAUGAGCCUGCGUCUGAUUAGCUAGUUGGUGAGGUAAUGGCUCACCAAGGCUACGAUCAGUAGCUGGUCUGAGAGGAUGAUCAGCCACAUUGGGACUGAGAUACGGCCCAGACUCCUACGGGAGGCAGCAGUGAGGAAUAUUGCUCAAUGGGGGAAACCCUGAAGCAGCAACGCCGCGUGAGGGAUGAAGGCGCUCUGCGUUGUAAACCUCUGUAGUUGGGGACAAAUGUGGGGUUACUACCCCAUUGAUGGUACCUGGAGAAUAAGCCCCGGCUAACUUCGUGCCAGCAGCCG